ACGCCUGCCCAGUGAAACUAUUCAACGGCCGCGGUACCCUAACCGUGCAAAGGUAGCGUAAUCAUUUGUCUAUUAAUUGUAGACCGGUAUGAAAGGCAACAUGAGAGCCAAACCGUCUCUUGUAGUUACUCAAUUAAACUGAUCUUUUAGUCCAAAAGCUAAAAUACUUAUAUAAGACCAGAAGACCCUGUGAAGCUUAAACUAACCCGUUAAACCAAAUAACGGCCACUUUCGGUUGGGGCGACCUUGGAAUAAAAAAGAACUUCCAAUAUAAUGAAUACUCCAUCAUACCUCCAGGCCAACAAGCCACAUACUGACCCAGUCUACUGACUAACGAACCAAGUUACUCCAGGGAUAACAGCGCCUUCUUCUUCAAGAGCCCAUAUCAAAAAGAAGGUUUACGACCUCGAUGUUGGAUCAGGACAUCCUAGUGGUGCAGCCGCUACCAAGGGUUCGUUUGUUCAACGAUUAACAGUCCUACGUGAUCUG
rnacentral:rRNA from 1 species